rnacentral:rRNA from 1 species
GGUCCUACGGGGGGCAGCAGUGAGGAAUAUUGGUCAAUGGGCGCAAGCCUGAACCAGCCAAGUCGCGUGAGGGAUGACGGUCCUAUGGAUUGUAAACCUCUUUUGUCGGGGAGCAAGGCCCGCCACGUGUGGCGGGAAGGAGAGUACCCGAAGAAAAAGCAUCGGCUAACUCCGUGCCAGCAGCCGCGGUAAUACGGAGGAUGCGAGCGUUAUCCGGAUUUAUUGGGUUUAAAGGGUGCGUAGGCGGAAUGCCAAGUCAGCGGUAAAAUCGCGGGGCUCAACCUCGCUCCGCCGUUGAAACGGGG